CAGGCCUAACACAUGCAAGUCGAGUGGCUGUUCCUUCGGGGAUGGUUAGCGGCGGACGGGUGAGUAACACGUAGGCAACCUGCCUGUAAGAUCGGGAUAACUACCGGAAACGGUAGCUAAGACCGGAUAGCUGGUUUCUCCGCAUGGGGGAAUCAUGAAACACGGGGCAACCUGUGGCUUACGGAUGGGCCUGCGGCGCAUUAGCUAGUUGGUGGGGUAAUGGCCCACCAAGGCGACGAUGCGUAGCCGACCUGAGAGGGUGAUCGGCCACACUGGGACUGAGACACGGCCCAGACUCCUACGGGAGGCAGCAGUAGGGAAUCUUCCGCAAUGGGCGCAAGCCUGACGGAGCAACGCCGCGUGAGUGAUGAAGGUUUUCGGAUCGUAAAGCUCUGUUGCCAAGGAAGAACGCCUCGGAGAGUAACUGCUCUGAGGGUGACGGUACUUGAGAAGAAAGCCCCGGCUAACUACGUGCCAGCAGCCGCGGUAAUACGUAGGGGGCAAGCGUUGUCCGGAAUUAUUGGGCGUAAAGCGCGCGCAGGCGGUCUUUUAAGUUUGGUGUUUAAGCCCGGGGCUCAACCCCGGUUCGCACUGAAAACUGGGAGACUUGAGUGCAGGAGAGGAAAGCGGAAUUCCACGUGUAGCGGUGAAAUGCGUAGAGAUGUGGAGGAACACCAGUGGCGAAGGCGGCUUUCUGGACUGUAACUGACGCUGAGGCGCGAAAGCGUGGGGAGCAAACAGGAUUAGAUA
rnacentral:rRNA from 1 species